rnacentral:rRNA from 1 species
UAGCCCUACGGACGCAGCAGUGAGGGAUAUUGGUCAAUGGGGGAACCCUGAACCAGCAACGCCGCGUGAGGGAAGACGGUUUUCGGAUUGUAAACCUCUGUCCUCUGUGAAGAUAAUGACGGUAGCAGAGGAGGAAGCUCCGGCUAACUACGUGCCAGCAGCCGCGGUAAUACAUAGGGAGCAAGCGUUAUCCGGAUUUAUUGGGUGUAAAGGGUGCGUAGACGGGAAAUUAAGUUAGUUGUGAAAUCCCUCGGCUUAACUGAGGAACUGCAACUAAAACUGGUUUUCUUGAGUACUGGAGAGGA